rnacentral:rRNA from 1 species
UGAGGAAUAUUGGUCAAUGGGGGCAACCCUGAACCAGCCAAGUCGCGUGAAGGAUGUAGGUCUUAUGGAUUGUAAACUUCUUUUACACGGGAAUAAAGUGGGGGACGUGUCCCCCUUUGCAUGUACCGUGUGAAUAAGGAUCGGCUAACUCCGUGCCAGCAGCCGCGGUAAUACGGAGGAUCCGAGCGUUAUCCGGAUUUAUUGGGUUUAAAGGGUGCGCAGGCGGGAUGUUAAGUCGGCGGUGAAAUUUUGCAGCUCAACUGUAAAAGUGCCUUCGAUACUGGCCUCCUUGAGUGUGGAUGAAGUAGGCGGAAUUUGUGGUGUAGCGGUGAAAUGCUUAGAUAUCACGAGGAACUCCGAUUGCGCAGGCAGCUUACUAAGCCACAACUGACGCUCAUGCACGAAGGCGUGGGGAUCAAAC